rnacentral:tRNA from 1 species
GCGGGAGUGCUGGAAUUGGCAGACAGGCUAGACUAAGGAUCUAGUGGUGGAAACGUCGUGUGGGUUCAAGUCCCAUCUCCCGCA